rnacentral:rRNA from 1 species
GACGAACGCUGGCGGCGUGCUUAACACAUGCAAGUCGAACGGUAAGGCCCCAGCUUUCUGGGGUACACGAGUGGCGAACGGGUGAGUAACACGUGGGUAACCUGCCCCUCACUUCGGGAUAAGCCUGGGAAACUGGGUCUAAUACCGGAUAGGACCGCACCGUGAGGGUGUGGUGUAGGGUUGUUCGGUGGGGGAUGGGCGCGCGGCCUAUCAGCUUGUUGGUGGGGUAAUGGCCUACCAAGGCGGCGACGGGUAGCCGGCCUGAGAGGGUGGACGGCCACAUUGGGACUGAGACACGGCCCAGACUCCUACGGGAGGCAGCAGUGGGGAAUAUUGCACAAUGGGCGGAAGCCUGAUGCAGCGACGCCGCGUGGGGGAUGACGGCCUUCGGGUUGUAAACUCCUUUCACCAUCGACGAAGGUUUUCUGACGGUAGAUGGAGAAGAAGCACCGGCUAACUACGUG